rnacentral:rRNA from 1 species
GACGUAGGGGGCAAGCGUUGUUCGGAUUUACUGGGCGUAAAGGGCGCGUAGGCGGCUCGCUAAGUGAGGAGUGAAAUCUCAGGGCUCAACCCUGAAACCGCUUUUCAUACUGUCGAGCUGGAGGAACGCAGAGGUGACUGGAAUUCCCGGUGUAGCGGUGAAAUGCAUUGAUAUCGGGAGGAACUCCGAUGGCGAAGGCAGGUCACUGGGCGUCUCCUGACGCUGAGGCGCGAAAGCGUGGGUAGCAAACAGG